CGAGACCUCAGGUCAGGCGGGACUACCCGCUGAGUUUAAGCAUAUCAAUAAGCGGAGGAAAAGAAACUAACAAGGAUUCCCCUAGUAACGGCGAGCGAACCGG
rnacentral:rRNA from 1 species